rnacentral:rRNA from 1 species
UACAGAGGGGGCGAGCGUUGUUCGGAAUUACUGGGCGUAAAGGGCGCGUAGGCGGCCUCUUAAGUCGAACGUGAAAUCCCCGGGCUCAACCCGGGAACUGCGUCCGAUACUGGGGGGCUUGAAUCCGGGAGAGGGAUGUGGAAUUCCAGGUGUAGCGGUGAAAUGCUUAGAUAUGACAUAGAACACCAAUUGCGAAGGCAGCUGGCUACACAAAUAUUGACACUGAGGCUCGAAAGCGUGGGGAUCAAACAGG